AUACGUAGGGGGCGAGCGUUGUCCGGAAUGAUUGGGCGCAAAGGGCGCGUAGGCGGCCCGGUAAGUCUGGAGUGAAAGUCCUGUUUUUAAGAUGGGAAUUGCUUUGGAUACUGUCGGGCUUGAGUGCAGGAGAGGUAAGUGGAAUUCCCAGUGUAGCGGGGAAAUGCGUAGAGAUUGGGAGGAACACCAGUGGCGAAGGCGACUUACUGGACUGUAACUGACGCUGAGGCGCGAAAGUGUGGGGAGCAAACAGGAUUAGAUACCCUGGUAGUCCACACUGUAAACGAUGAAUGCUAGGUGUAGGGGGUAUCGACCCCUUCUGUGCCGCAGUCAACACAAUAAGCAAUCCGCCUGGGGAGUACGGCCGCAAGGUUGAAACUCAAAUGAAUUGACGGGG
rnacentral:rRNA from 1 species